rnacentral:rRNA from 1 species
ACCAAAUUCUCAACGAUGGAUAUCUUGGUUCCUAUUACGAUGAAGAACGCAGCGAAGUGCGAUAAGCAGUGCGAAUUGCAGAACCGUGAGUCAUCAGAUUUUUGAACGCAACUGGCACUAGAUGGUUAUCCGUCUAGUAUGCUUGUUUCAGUG